AUACGUAGGUGACAAGCGUUAUCCGGAUUUACUGGGCGUAAAGGGCGUGUAGGCGGUCUUGCAAGUCAGAAGUGAAAUUCCUGAGCUCAACGCGGGCGCUGCUUCUGAAACUGCAGGACUUGAGUGCUGGAGGGGAUAGCGGAAUUCCUCGUGGAGCGGUAAAAUGGGCAGAGAUUAGGAAGAACACUGGUGGCGAAGGCGGCUAUCGGGACAGUAACUGACGCUGAGGCGCGAAAGCGUGGGGAGAAAACAGGAUUAGAUACCCGGGUAGUCCACGCCGUAAACGAUGAAUACUAGGUGUAGGGGGUAUCGACUCCCUCUGUGCCGCAGUUAACACAAUAAGUAUUCCGCCUGGGGAGUACGGCCGCAAGGUUGAAACUCAAAUGAAUUGGCGGGG
rnacentral:rRNA from 1 species